rnacentral:pre_miRNA from 1 species
GAUUUCAGUUGAAAAAGUCAUCAACAACAAAGUUGUGUAACUCAUCAAGAUCUAUAACUUUUACUUUGGUCAUUUCUUCAUCAGACAAAGUGAUAGUAACAUUUUUACAAAAUUUACAUCUCUUUUAUAGUUUAUGAAACUAUAUAAGGGAUAUGUACAUUUUGUGAACAAUCUUACAAAUCACUUUGUCGGACGAAGAAAUGAUCAAAAUAGAACUUAUAGAUCCUGAUAAGUUAUAUAACUUUGUUGUUGAUGACUUUUUUAAUUAAAAUC